rnacentral:rRNA from 1 species
GCUGGCGGCGUGCUUAACACAUGCAAGUCGAACGGGAAACAUUUUAUUGAAGCUUCGGCAGAUUUAGUUUGUUUCUAGUGGCGGACGGGUGAGUAACGCGUGGGUAACCUGCCUCACACUGGGGGAUAACAGUCAGAAAUGACUGCUAAUACCGCAUAAGCGCACGGAACCGCAUGGUUUUGUGUGAAAAACUCCGGUGGUGUGAGAUGGACCCGCGUUGGAUUAGCCAGUUGGCAGGGUAACGGCCUACCAAAGCGACGAUCCAUAGCCGGCCUGAGAGGGUGAACGGCCACAUUGGGACUGAGACACGGCCCAGACUCCUACGGGAGGCAGCAGUGGGGAAUAUUGCACAAUGGGGGAAACCCUGAUGCAGCGACGCCGCGUGAAGGAAGAAGUAUCUCGGUAUGUAAACUUCUAUCAGCAGGGAAGAAAAUGACGGUACCUGACUAAGAAGCCCCGGCUAACUACGUGCCAGCAGCCGCGGUAAUACGUAGGGGGCAAGCGUUAUCCGGAUUUACUGGGUGUAAAGGGAGCGUAGACGG